CAUUAAAACAUCGGUUUCCAUAUGAUCACCAAAGUUAAGCAACGUCGAACCAGUUCAAUACUGAGAUGGAUAGCCGCUGGGGAAUACCUGUUGCUGUAUG